GUCUACAGCCAUGCCACCCUGAACAAGCCGGAUCCAGUCUGAUCUUGGAAGCUAAGUAGAGUCGGGUCUGGUUAGUGCUUGGAUGGGAGACCACCUAGGAAGACCAGGUGCUGUGGGCG
rnacentral:rRNA from 1 species